rnacentral:lncRNA from 1 species
AUGCAACCUAAAAGUAACCAACUCCCCCCACGCGAAGGUUCCUAUCGGUCGACGGGCUGUGGGUGUAUUGCUCAGUGACGGCUUCGUUUAGUUUCUCCCAGCACCCAUAAUUCAAAGCAAGAACAACGACAUUAUGGGGAGAAAACGUCCUUUUGUGAAACAGAAGGCAAUCCACACCAUUAGUAAACCCCAUCAAUUUUGCCUUCAGAAUAUAUCCAGAUUCUUCCCAAUUCUACCGCCACCAUUCUGGUUCAAGCUACCUGGAUCUCACUUUGUUACCCAGGCUAGAGUGCAAUGGUGUGACCACAGCUCACUGAAGCCUCAACCUCCUGAGCUCACUUUUAAGCAAUCCUCUCACUUCGGCCUCCUGAGUAGCUGGGCCUACAGGCAUGUACCAACACUCCCAGCAAGUUUUUCUUAUUUUUGUGAAGACAGAGUCUUGCAGUAUUGCCCAAGCUGGACUUGAACUCCUGGCCUCAAGCAAUCCUCCCAUCUAGGCCUCCCAAAGUGCUAGGAUUACAGGCAUGAGCCACUGUGCCAAGCAACACUUGCAGUUUUUAAGUGAAAAUGAUCCUGUAAAUAUAUAUAUGAAUAAAAUCUAGAAAGCUAUAUAAAUCAAAA